UACGAAGGGGGCUAGCGUUGCUCGGAAUCAUUGGGCGUAAAGCGCGCGUAGGCGGCCCUGUAAGUCCGUUGUGAAAGUCAAAGGCUCAACCUUUGAAAGCCGAUGGAUACUGCAGGGCUAGAGUCCGGAAGAGGCGAGUGGAAUUCCUGGUGUAGCGGUGGAAUGCGCAGAUAUCAGGAGGAACACCAAUAGCGAAGGCAGCUCGCUGGGACGGUACUGACGCUAAGGCGCGAAAGCGUGGGGAGCGAACAGG
rnacentral:rRNA from 1 species